rnacentral:rRNA from 1 species
GACGAACGCUAGCUACUGGAUUAACACAUGCAAGUCGAGGGCCCGGCGCACGGGUGAGUAACACGUAUCCAACCUGACCCUUACUCGGGGAUAGCCUUUCGAAAGAAAGAUUAAUACCCGAUGUAUAGGAUGGUGAUGCGUUCCAUUAGGUUGUUGGUGUGGGAACGGCUCACCAAGACUUCGAUGGAUAGGGGUUCUGAGAGUAAGGCACCCCACAUUGGAAAUGAGACACGGUCCAAACUCUGACGGGAGGCAGCAGUGAGGAAUAUUGGGCAAUGUGCGUUAGCAUGAACCAGCCAAGUAGCAUGAAGGAUGGAGGCUUAGGGGUCGUAAACUUCUUUUAUAUAAGAAGAUGUAUGAUACCAGUAAGGAUCGGCUAACUCCGUGCCAGCAGCCGCGGUAAUAC